rnacentral:rRNA from 1 species
CGUGAGUGAUGAAGGUUUUCGGAUCGUAAAGCUCUGUCAAGAGGGAAGAAACCUCAAUCGGCUAACACCCGAUUGGAUUUACGGUACCUCUAAAGGAAGCACCGGCUAACUCCGUGCCAGCAGCCGCGGUAAUACGGAGGGUGCGAGCGUUGUUCGGAAUUAUUGGGCGUAAAGCGCGUGCAGGCGGUUUGUUAAGUCUGAUGUGAAAGCCCCGGGCUCAACCUGGGAAGUGCAUUGGAAACUGGCAAACUUGAGUACGGGAGAGGGAAGUGGAAUUUCGAGUGUAGGGGUGAAAUCCGUAGAUAUUCGAAGGAACACCAGUGGCGAAGGCGGCUUCCUGGACCGAUACUGACGCUGAGACGCGAAAGCGUGGGGAGCGAACAGGAUUAGAUACCCUGGUAGUCCACGCCGUAAACGCUGGGUACUAGGUGUUGCGGGUAUUGACCCCUGCAGUGCCGAAGCUAACGCAUUAAGUACCCCGCCUGGGGAGUACGGUCGCAAGACUA